AAGGAAUAUUAGUCAAUGGACGCAAGUCUGAACCAGCCAUGCCGCGUGAAGGAUGAAGGUCCUCUGGAUUGUAAACUUCUUUUAUCUGGGACGAAAACGGGAUUUUUAUCUCAAUUGACGGUACCAGAGGAAUAAGCACCGGCUAACUCCGUGCCAGCAGCCGCGGUAAUACGGAGGGUGCGAGCGUUAUCCGGAUUUACUGGGUUUAAAGGGUGCGUAGGUGGGCUUAUAAGUCAGUGGUGAAAUCUCCGAGCUUAACUUGGAAACUGCCGUUGAUACUAUAGGUCUUGAAUUAUCUGGAGGUAAGCGGAAUAUGUCAUGUAGCGGUGAAAUGCUUAGAUAUGACAUAGAACACCAAUUGCGAAGGCAGCUUACUACAUAUAAAUUGACGCUGAGGCACGAAAGCGUGGGGAUCAAACA
rnacentral:rRNA from 1 species